rnacentral:lncRNA from 1 species
CAGAUUUUUUUUUUCCUCCUAGCGCUUGCUCGGUUCCAGAAAGGGGUGGGGGGAAAUCCUGUACGUGCUCUGUUCUGUAAAAGACGUCUGGCCUCAGCAGUCAACCUAACACGAAAAGAAAUGUCUGGACCGGGAGAAUAAUUGACGAUUCGAUCCUCUAAUCAAUGAGACAACCUGAGAGAUUGACAAAAGCUUUAUCCAAUCACAAGAAAGCUUGGGUGUACAAUGGUUCGCAAGAACCAGAGGGGGCGGGGCAGAGGAGAUCUGAAGUUCUCUGCGGCUCUGAAAGGGAUGGUGUGGUUCAAGCUGUCAAAGCUACAAGCUCUUCCGGAUUUAGCAAGCACAAUAGGAAAGCGUUUGCAAGUUUAAGAAGAAAAAGCUGAUUGGGGAACUUUUUGCAUGAAUCCUGCGCCUUCUCCUUUUCUCUUUUGAGAAAGAAAACUCGGAAAAAUUCUAUCAGGGAAAAAAUUAAUUUUGCAUUAGUUAUUAUUUUUACACUUAAGGAAGUUAGUAACUAUUUUGGAAGUAGAGGUUCAACUUAUUUAGGAAAUGUGUGUCUAAAACUUGCCUUAAUUUUGGGACUGUAGUGAGCUUUGGGAAGUAAGAUAUUGCAUACUCAGCAUUACAGAAUUAUUCACCCUGAUUCUCUUAGUAGCUUUGGCAUUUCAAAUCCUUUGAAGAAAUGGGCAAGCUUCCCUUGAACUCAAAAGAAUAGUUUUAAGAGAGAAUGUGUCAUAGGUGGACUGAAAGCUGUUUUAUAGAUUUGGAAGGAAAAGGAUAAAGGAGUAUAUUUUUUUGAAUUCUGCUGUUUAGGUUGUAUGGUCAGUAGCAUAUAAAACAGUAAGACUGUGCACAUUUCCUUUUGUUGUCACAACCCCUGUGGAGGGUGAAAGUGUGGGAGAUUGUUGACUCCCUACCUAUUAGCUGGAGUCUGGCCUCUUGUUCAAGUCCUUGAUGCCAGUCCAGUGGGAACCAACUGUAGCUCGUCUUGGAGACAGUAACUGGCAGCUUCUGACUAAGAUGUGUACUUUCCCUCCUCCUCUACGAACAUUAUAGACACCUAAUUCUAUUGGAAAGUGAAUGGAAAAUUAUAUGGGUUCUUUCUUUCUUUUUUUUUUUUUAAUUAAAUUCCCAUCUAUUUCUCAAGGCUUUAGGCCUUCCAAUCAAAUGCAGUUUGAUGUUAGAAUUCACUUCGAUGCUCAGUUUAGCAACAUGAUUCAAUUUAGGUUUAUAUGCAUAUAAGAAAAGUCUGCAAGUGACCAGCAGGUUGAAACUAGAGAAAGAAAAUGUUGGAAAAUGCUAGUUAAUAAAGUUAGUCUUGGUAAGAAGUACAGAAUAAAUGGUGUUGUCACUUAUGAAUCCCAGUGCUAUCUUCACUACUUUGGGCAUUAAAAUCUAAAUCAUAUUAAUAAGAUUUCCCUAUUAAGUAACCUCCAAAACGAGAGGUAUUUGAGAUGUACAUAUAAGUGAAACCUUAUUGACGUAAUUUAUAUAUCUAAGAGGAUUUCACUAAAGCUGGCAAGGUAACGUUUCUGCAAAUAAAACACAGUAAAUGCAAGGCUGGGCUCUGUGCCAGGAAGAAUAUGGAUAGCAGAGAGCAUGACAGGAGCCUCCUUUGCGCAGAGACAAUCCCAUUUCAAGGCAGCCUCCUACCACUUGCAAAAUAAAUGAUUGGAGCAGUUAUUUCCAAUAAGGGGUUUAUCCUUCCUAACAAUGGGCCAUUUAUAUGAUUGCAGUAAACUAGUUUUCAUACUUCACCUGUGUUUCCUACCCUGCCCUGUCUAGUCUCCCUUAACCUCAUCUCUGCUCUCUCAUGUGUCUUGGUAUCUUUGUAAACUCUGGACAAGGAUUUACUUUUGUAACCUGGGAAGAGGGGAGAGAGUUGGAAAUGUUUUUUACCCCCAGUCUGCCCUUUGAGGAACAUCUGUUUCUUUGUGUGUGUGUUUAAAUUUAUGCCUGUUGGAGAGAAAGUUACCAGAAGCCUUUCUGUAACUGUAACUCUUCUACUGUAUUUUUCUCAGUCUUGUUUCCAAAGGCUGUAGUUGGAACUGUGCUUUGUAGUGUAUCCCCCGCCUUCCACCCCCCUCCCGCGCGGGGGAGGGAGCGGGAGCUGGCGGAGAUAGGAGAGAAAGCAGGAGCGGAUGUGAAGGGCUUUGGUGCUGAACUUGGAUCCAGCCCUUGCCUAGAGGGCGCAAACAAUCGUCCCAUAUCCAAAAGUCUUACGAAGGGCGCCAAAAGUUACUUAAGAUAAUAUUGCUAACCGCAGAAAGCUGGAAAUCGCGGGCAUAUCCACUGCUGCAACAAAAGAAGUUUUUAAAGUGGAAAUAUCAGCAUUAAAUUACUUUCCCCCAUUAAAAAAAAAAAAAAAAAACAGGGCGACGUGCCAGUCCCUUUUUGAAAAAAAAUCUUUUUUCUUUGAGACUCAAUCAAAAGUAAGAAUCUUUGCUGUUUUGAAAAGAGGCAGAAGUGUCUUUUAAUACACCCCCCUCCAAAAAAAAAAAAAAAGAUUUUAAUCUGCUCUGGAAGAGAGCUUCCCAAGAGUACACACUCGAAACAAUAACUUCUCACUGUGCCUCAGUUACAUGUUGGGACCCUCAGCCAGAAACUUCUAUCUAGGAAACUUGGAGCGCGUUUUAGUUAUAGAUCCCAGCAAAUGUUUUCGUGGCCAGGGAUGUUCUCUGUAACUGGACUUGGCUUUUAGGACGUUUCUCCCUUACUGAAAACCAUGAGGAACCAAGGAAAUGCAGUUGAUUAGUAUGGAAAAAUGAACUUUCCAAAUAAAAAGAUUGAAAUUAUUUUCCUUCACUACUUUAUAAAUAAUCUGAGAGAUUUCCAAGGAUAUUCAGGAGGAGAGGUGGGGGGUGGAGAAUUGUUUCUGAGUAUUGGGGAAUUAUUUUAGCAGCAAAGCAACUAGAGAACAAGCAUAAAAUAACUUUAGACAGAUGCAGAAUUAUUUC